UACGUAGGGUGCAAGCGUUGUCCGGAAUUACUGGGCGUAAAGCGCACGUAGGCGGAUCGGAAAGUCAGAGGUGAAAUCCCAGGGCUCAACCUUGGAACUGCCUUUGAAACUCCCGGUCUUGAGUUCGAGAGAGGUGAGUGGAAUUCCGAGUGUAGAGGUGAAAUUCGUAGAUAUUCGGAGGAACACCAGUGGCGGAAGGCGGCUCACUGGCUCGAUACUGACGCUGAGGUGCGAAAGCGUGGGGAGCAAACAGG
rnacentral:rRNA from 1 species